AGAGUUUGAUCCUGGCUUAGGAUGAACGGCUGGCGGCGUGCCUAACACAUGCAAGUCGAGCGAUUUCUCGGAGAAGAGCGGCGGACGGGUGAGUAACGCGUGGGUAACCUGCCUCAUACACAUGGAUAACAGUACCGAAAGGUAUGCUAAUACAGGAUAAUAUAAGAGAUUCACAUGGAUUUCUUAUCAAAGCUCCGGCGGUAUGAGAUGGACCCGCGUCUGAUUAGCUAGUUGGUAGGGUAACGGCUUACCAAGGCGACGAUCAGUAGCCGACCUGAGAGGGUGAUCGGCCACAUUGGAACUGAGACACGGUCCAAACUCCUACGGGAGGCAGCAGUGGGGAAUAUUGCACAAUGGGCGAAAGCCUGAUGCCAGCAACGCCGCGUGAGUGAUGAAGGCCUUCGGGUCGUAAAACUCUGUCCUCAAGGAAGAUAAUGACGGUACUUGAGGAGGAAGCCCCGGCUAACUACGUGCCAGCAGCCGC
rnacentral:rRNA from 1 species